rnacentral:rRNA from 1 species
UACGAAGGGGGCUAGCGUUGCUCGGAUUGACUGGGCGUAAAGGGCGCGUAGGCGGUUCGUACAGUCAGACGUGAAAUUCCUGGGCUCAACCUGGGGCGUGCGUUGAUACGUGCGGACUUGAGUGCGGAAGAGGGUCGUGGGAAUUCCCAGUGUAGAGGUGAAAUUCGUAGAUAUUGGGAAGAACACCGGUGGCGAAGGCGGCGACCUGGUCCGAUACUGACGCUGAGGCGCGAAAGCGUGGGUAGCAAACAGG